GACGAACGCUGGCGGCGUGCUUAACACAUGCAAGUCGAACGGAAAGGCCCUGCUUUUGUGGGGUGCUCGAGUGGCGAACGGGUGAGUAACACGUGAGUAACCUGCCCUUGACUUUGGGAUAACUUCAGGAAACUGGGGCUAAUACCGGAUAGGAGCUCCUGCUGCAGGGUGGGGGGUGGAAAGUUUCGGCGGUUGGGGAUGGACGCGCGGCUUAUCAGCUUGUUGGUGGGGUAGUGGCUUACCAAGGCUUUGACGGGUAGCCGGCCUGAGAGGGUGGCCGGCCACCUGGCUACUGCGGUAGGCCCCAGUGUCCAACGGUGGGCAACGGGCGGAAGCCUGGCCCAGUGGUCCGGCGCGUGUGCCGGCAGCCCCCCGUUCGGAAUGCCGUCUUUUGGGUUGAAAACCGCUGCCGCUUGUUACGAAGCUGUUGUGACGGUAAUGGAAAAAGAAGCACCGGCUAACUUCGUG
rnacentral:rRNA from 1 species